CGUAGGUGGCGAGCGUUGUCCGGAAUUAUUGGGCGUAAAGGGCGCGUAGGCGGGAUAAUCAGUCUGUUGUAAAAGUUCGGGGCUCAACCCCGUAGCGCGAUGGAAACUGUUAUUCUUGAGUACCGGAGAGGAAAGUGGAAUUCCCAGUGUAGCGGUGAAAUGCGUAGAUAUUGGGAGGAACACCAGUGGCGAAGGCGACUUUCUGGACGGUGUCUGACGCUGAGGCGCGAAAGCCAGGGUAGUGAACGGGAUUAGAUACCCCGGUAAUCCUGGCCGUAAACGAUGGGUACUAGGUGUAGGGGGUAUCGACCCCUCCUGUGCCGGAGUUAACGCAAUAAGUACCCCGCCUGGGGAGUACGGCCGCAAGGUUG
rnacentral:rRNA from 1 species